rnacentral:rRNA from 1 species
UCGGGAAUUUUGGGCAAUGGGCGAAAGCCUGACCCAGCAACGCCGCGUGAAGGAUGAAGUAUUUCGGUAUGUAAACUUCGAAAGAAUAGGAAGAAUAAAUGACGGUACUAUUUAUAAGGUCCGGCUAACUACGUGCCAGCAGCCGCGGUAAUACGUAGGGACCAAGCGUUGUUCGGAUUUACUGGGCGUAAAGCGUGCGCAGGCGGCCGCGCAAGUCAGGUGUGAAAUCCCCGGGCUUAACCUGGGAAUUGCGCUUGAAACUAUGCGGCUUGAGUGUGGCAGAGGGGGGUGGAAUUCCACGUGUAGCAGUGAAAUGCGUAGAGAUGUGGAGGAACACCGAUGGCGAAGGCAGCCCCCUGGGCCAACACUGACGCUCAUGCACGAAAGCGUGGGGAGCAAACAGGAUUAGAUACCCGGGUAGUCCCUGAGCGGGCUGGCAAGGCGCAU